UGGGGGAAUUUUGGACAAUGGGCGCAAGCCUGAUCCAGCAAUGCCGCGUGCAGGAUGAAGGCCUUCGGGUUGUAAACUGCUUUUGUACGGGAACGAAAACGCCCCUGGGUUAAUACCCCUGGGGGUCAUGACGGUACCGUAAGAAUAAGCACCGGCUAACUACGUGCCAGCAGCCGCGGUAAUACGUAGGGUGCGAGCGUUAAUCGGAAUUACUGGGCGUAAAGCGUGCGCAGGCGGUUUUGUAAGACAGAGGUGAAAUCCCCGGGCUCAACCUGGGAACUGCCUUUGUGACUGCAAGGCUUGAGUGCGGCAGAGGGGGGAUGGAAUUCCGCGUGUAGCAGUGAAAUGCGUAGAUAUGCGGAGGAACACCGAUGGCGAAGGCAAUCCCCUGGGCCUGCACUGACGCUCAUGCACGAAAGCGUGGGGAGCAAACAGGAUUAGAUACCCCUGGUAGUCCACGCCCUAAACGAUGUCAACUGGUUGUUGGGAAGGUUCCUUCUCAGUAACGUAGCUAACGCGUGAAGUUGACCGCCUGGGGAGUACGGCCGCAAGGUUGAAACUC
rnacentral:rRNA from 1 species